rnacentral:rRNA from 1 species
UACGUAGGGUGCGAGCGUUAAUCGGAAUUACUGGGCGUAAAGCGUGCGCAGGCGGUUAUGUAAGACAGAUGUGAAAUGCCCGGGCUUAACCUGGGAACUGCAUUUGUGACUGCAUGGCUAGAGUUUGGCAGAGGGGGGUAGAAUUCCACGUGUAGCAGUGAAAUGCGUAGAUAUGUGGAGGAACACCGAUGGCGAAGGCAGCCCCCUGGGUCAAGACUGACGCUCAUGCACGAAAGCGUGGGGAGCAAAAGGG